GUUGGAAGGGCUUGCGUAAGCCUCACCCGCACAGCGCCGGGCACGCGAGGGGCGGGGCUUUCCGAAGCCUGGUUCGGAGUAGGCGGGGCCAGCCCCUCCCCGGUUGGAGGAGGUGGAGCAGCAGCUGGUGCCCGCGCGCCCCUAUUAACGGCCCCUGGAGCGGCGACCAUGACCCAGUCGGUGGUGGUGCAGGUGGGCCAGUGCGGGAACCAGAUCGGCUGCCGCUUCUGGGACCUGGCGCUGAGGGAACACGCCGCCGUCAACAAGAAAGGAAUUUAUGAUGAAGCAUUAAGCAGCUUCUUUAGAAAUGUGGAUACCAGAAAUGGUGGUGGUGAUGCUGAUAUUCACAAAGGCAAAAUCUUCUCUUUAAAAGCACGAGCUCUCUUGAUUGACAUGGAGGAGGGUGUAGUGAAUGAAAUUCUGCAGGGGCCAUUGAGAGAUGUGUUUGAUAGCAAGCAGCUCAUCACAGAUGUAUCUGGUUCUGGGAACAACUGGGCUGUAGGUCAUAAACUGUAUGGCUAUCAGUACCGGGAACACAUUGUGGAAAAGUUGAGGAGGACUGCAGAACACUGCGACUGUCUGCAGUGUUUUUUUGUAAUUCAUUCAAUGGGAGGUGGGACAGGAUCUGGUCUUGGUACUUUUGUACUAAAUGUUCUUGAAGAUGAGUUCCCGGAAGUAUAUAGAUUUGUUACUUCAGUUUACCCUUCUGGGGAGGAUGAUGUCAUUACUUCUCCAUAUAAUAGUGUUCUGGCUAUGAAGGAACUUAAUGAGCAUGCGGACUGUGUGCUGCCAAUUGAAAAUGAAUCUUUAUUUUCUAUAGUUAGUAAAAUUCAUCAGAUGACCAGUUCUGGAAAGCUAGGAUCAACUGUGAAACAAAACAGCUUGUUAACCUCAAGUGCAGGCAGUAUCAAAACUGAACAGGAGAAGCCAUUUGAUGCUAUGAACAAUAUUGUGGCCAACUUGCUGCUGAACCUGACAAGCUCUGCCAGGUUUGAAGGUUCCCUUAAUAUGGAUCUUAAUGAAAUCAGCAUGAAUUUGGUUCCCUUUCCUCGACUUCAUUACCUGGUUUCCAGCUUGACUCCUCUGUAUACAUUGGCUGAUGUUAAUGUACCUUCUAGACGGUUGGAUCAAAUGUUUUCAGAUGCUUUCAGCAAAGACCACCAGUUGAUUCAAGCAGACCCAAAGCAUAGCUUGUACCUUGCCUGUGCACUUCUGGUUCGAGGAAAUGUACAGGUUUCAGACCUUCGCAGAAACAUUGAAAGGUUGAAGCCUUCCCUUCAUUUUGUCUCAUGGAAUCAAGAAGGCUGGAAAACUGGCCUAUGUUCAGUACCUCCUGUGGGCCAUUCUCACUCACUGUUGGCAUUAGCAAACAACACAUGUGUGAAACCGACCUUUACAGAGCUCAAAGACAGAUUCAUGAAGCUCUACAAGAAAAAGGCUCACCUUCACCAUUACUUGCGUGUUGAUGGGAUGGAGCAAAGCUGUUUCUCCGAAGCCAUAUCAUCCUUGUCAGAUCUAAUAGAGGAGUAUAACCAGCUAGAUGCCACUAAAAGUGCGCCUGGAACAUAUCCCUCAAGACUGAAGAUAGCUAUGUAACAGAGGAAGAAUUGCUAUUAUUUGCAGAACAGCAAACUGCCUAAGCUAACUGGAUGGGUUAUGAAAGCAGCUAGGACUAAUCAUUCCACAGAGAUCCUGCUACUGUCCCUCUCCAGGCUGGCUGGGAGUGUUGUAUCAAGUGCUCAGACUGUGGAAAAAGGACCAACAUAUAUCACACACUAGCAGAAAAUGGGAUGCUGAGAUGUUGGCCUCCAUUAGGGGCCAUUGGACCUGGCAGAGCCCAGGAGGAUUUUGAACUGGAGGAUUCCCAGCAGCUGCAGUUCCCAGCAUGUCCUGAAGGAAGGAGUUGGCAUGCAGGAAAAACUGUGCAAGCCCAGGACCUAGCAUCAGGCUGUUCCUCCCUCUGGAUCACUAGGCUCUAGGAGGGUAGGGGAUAGAUCUGCGGAUGGAAACUAAGAGCCUGGUCUACAAUACAGUAGUCAUCGCCACUCUCUUUUAUGAGCAUGAGACAUGGGUGACAUACCAAAGCCAUCUUAACCAUCUGGAGUGGUACCAACAGUGCUGCCUUAGGAAGAUUCUCUGUAUCAGAUAGGAAGACCAUCGCACCAAUGCCAGCGUUCUCUCUGCAGCUAACAUCACCAGUGUUGAGGUGAAGAUUAUGAAACAUCAGCUUUGCUGGGUUGGCCAUUGUGUGUGGAUGGCUGAUACUCAUCUUCCAAAGCAAGUCCUCUUUUCUCAACUUAGCUAUGGUAAAAGGACCUGUAGGGGACAGAGGAAAUGCUACAAGGACACCUGAAAGUAUAUCUUAAGAAGGGAGGCAUUGACCCCAUGAAUUGGGAAGAACUGACCGGCAAUAGACUGCAAUGUCAUCACAUCAUACAUCAAGCCUCAGCCCGGUCUGAAGAGAAUUGCCUUGCUCAAGAGGUUGAGAAAUGGCAGAGGAGGAAGGAAAGGGUACAGCAUCCCGGCCAGCAGCUGUGAUCUCUCCAACCAACCACCUGUCACAUAUGUGGAAAAACCUGUAUAAAACGGAUUGGACUCCUUAGCCAUCUUAAGUCUCAUCAUUGACUUUUCCCGUGGCAGACAUCCUCAUAUCAAGGGAUAGCUGACAAUGAUGAAUGCAGAACUUAAUUGUAACACAAUAGGGAUGAAUUUGCAUAAAUGUGUUAACAGCCCUUUGGAUCUCUAUAAUGCCUCUUAUUAGUAUUAUUUUUAUUGCUUGUAUUGGCGUAGCACCCAGGAGGCCUACUCAUGGACCGGGACCCCAUUGUGCGAGGUGCUGAACAAACAACAACAAAAACUGUCCCCAGGGUCUUGCUUUUUGAAUAAUUGCUUCUGUCAUUCUUGAAUUUGGUCAAACUCCUUUUUUGUUGAGUCUGUAUCAUAUCUAAUUAAUCUAAUCCAACCCAAUCUGACAUUUGCUCUUAUUCAAUUUAAGGGUCUUUUCUUUGCCUCACUGCAGAACAUUAUGCAGUCUCUUACAGAACAGAAUGCAAAAGAUAGUCCUAAAAAAUGCAGCUAUGAUGCACUUUAGCUCUGCCAUGUAGGUUCAUUUUGUGCCCUAUUAUAUGAAACAAGCUUAGCUUUGGAUUUUAGCAUUGGCUGAUCACUAAUAAUUUGAUAUACGCCUGCUGUAAUUACACUGUGCCCCAUCCUAGUUGUCUGGGGCAAAUUUUGUACUGUACCUUCUGAGAAGCACAGCACAGAAAAUGCACCCCAGAAAGAGAGGAAGCAAAACUAAGAAUAAUAACGAUAAUAAAAAAGCCUAGGGGACCAAUAGGCUUGGAAGAAAAGGGUUACAUCAGUAAGAUGACCCAGAGUGUACUUGUUCUGGUUAAUUCUGCACACAUCACCAUGUUUCUGCUUAUUCUUUUUAAUAGCACUGUGUGCAGAGUAAAUUUGGAGUAACUGAAGCUGUGGAGCAGCUUUUCUCAUCACACUGUGAGCCCUGAAAAGACUUUUUUGUAUGAACUAGCCAGUCACUGACUCAACCAGCUUUCUCCUGCAGCCAUGAGUUAGUGAGGUUUGAGGGGUGUACAGUAAACUGGUCUCAGUUGAGAGGGAUGUUUUAGUAUGGGAGCUAAUCAUGCACUUUAGGAGACAUGUGAAGCUUCUACAGAGGCUCAUAUAAAUCUCAAAAAGUUUCCAUUAUUAAUUAUAAAAGGAAAUAGCAAUGCAGCUUCCAAAACCCCCAAUGCUAUUUAUGCAUUUAGUUUGUGCGCCAGCUAAAAACAUUCCUGCUGGAAAUUAAAACAAGACUACAGCCAAUUCUUGAACCAAACCUUCCUUAGGCAUGGAGGAAAUAGAAAAAGAGUUGUAUUUUUUUCCAACUCAGAAAUAAACCAUCAGUUCUGGUAUCUUUUCAUGUCUAGCAUGUAUUUUAUUAACCUUUUUAAAAAGUACCCACCCUAAAUAUUCUAUCUUCAGAUUAUUUUGGCACCAUGUAACUUUGAAAGGAAACCUCAACUCUUCAACAUAUAGAGAAAAUUUUCAGUGUUUUUUUUUUUAAAUGAGGAGGCUCAUUAACUCUUGAUACACAGGCUAGGCUGUUUCCUUGGGCUUAUGGCAAGCAGGGAUAAAAGUUACUUAAGGGACUUACUGGUUCGCAGGGUGACUGGGGUCCUAAGCAAGGUGGGGAGGCGGCUCUGGGCCCCCGAAAGGGUCAGGGCGUCUGGUGGAAGGUGCGGGGCUGAGAGCCGGACUUCCCCAGCCAGCCCUUUAGCGCUGCUGGGCCUAUGCCACCCAGGGAUCCGACGGCAAUUUAAAGGGCCCGGGACUCCCAGUCACCACCGCCACUAGCACUACCUCAGGGCUCCCAGACACCGCUACCGCUACCCGGGGAUUCUGGCAGCAAUUUAAAGGGCCUGGAGCUCCCAGCUGCCACCACCACUAUUGCAGCAGUGACCAAAGCCCUGGGACCUUUAAAUCGCUGCCAGAGCCCUGGAGUUGAGGCAGGGGCUGGAAGCCCAGGGGCUCCCAAGGCAGUUUAAAGGGCCCAGGGCUCCAGCCACUGGUGUGGUAGCAGUAGCGGCAUCCAGGAGCUCCGAGCCCUUUAAAUCACUGCCGGAGCCCCAUGGUAGCGGUAGUGGCAGCAGCAGAUGGGAGUCCUGGGGCUCUGUCGGUGAUUUAAAGGGCCUGGGGCUCUUGCCAGUGCUCCUUUUGACCCCCCUCAUCAGCGGGCCUACCAGUAUGGUUGGCUGUGUACCAGCUCUUACCAGUACGCCACACUGGACCGGACAAGCUUACUUUCACCUCUGGUGGCAAGGGAAUGUUAUCAUAGGGAGAAGGGCAAGUGUACUGUGCUGAGCAGAGGAGCUGGGAAAGGACUGCUGGGUUGAGCCAAUCCCAACCCAUUUUCCUACAGCUGGAGGCCGCCAUCCCUACUCCUGCCCUAUUCUAAAAAUUGAAGACCUAUUAAAAGGAAACCUUCUUGUUGUAUCUGAUGAAAAAUUGUGUGGCCAUCAUUUCACUUCAUAAGAAUCUCUGUGCUUGUGUGUGUGUCUCUGAACACUUCCAAGUGAAACUUAGCCAAAACUACCAAAUUUUGUCUGUUUUCUUGUUUGUACCCUAUGAAAACCACUAUAGUUAGUGAAGAACCAAUACAUUUAGCUCACAGGCUGGUAGCAUGCAUAGCUGGCUUCUUCAGACACUUUGGGAGAUCUAGUGGACUUGGUAUAAUAUGGAGUGUGAUUUGCCGGGAUGACAAAUUCUUAGCUGGAGGAGGAUGUCAGCAAGGUCUGAAUGAGCUCCCCUACCCUUCCAACACCCCCCAACAUCUAGUGAUGAGCUAGAUGGGUUGGAACUUCAGGAACAGGUCUAUUUGCAUAAACACACCUACUCAGCCUAGGAAUUUAGCAGAGGGAACUGCUUUGCCAAAAUGAUCAAUUUUGGCUGAUUCUGGGUUACAAAUCACCAUACAAUCCUCACUCCGAAAGCUAGAACCAUGCUGGGGAGGACCCUAAAUGAUGACAUCCACUGCCAGUAUGUGAAAAACCUGAAGCAGAAGCCAGACCAGGGCAAGGCGUUUGAGGUGAUGUGCAAGUGGGAUGCCAGCAACCACUUCCUUCCCAGGGACAGCUUCACCCGAUUUGCCGACUGGAGGUUUAUCCACAGGGCCUGGCUCAACUGCAUUCCACUGAACAGAGCUGUCAGCCACGGGAAUUGGGACAAGCCAUGUAGAAAGUGUGGCUAUGCCAACGAGACAUUACCCCAUGUCCUGUGUAGCUGCAAGCCCCGUUCCAGAGCCUGGCAGCUGCAACACAAUGCCAUCCAAGAUUGCCUGAUCAGAGUCAUCCCGCCACCCAUAGAGAAGGAUGCCUGAACUCCAUCAUCCCCGGAACCAACAGCCAACUGCGACCAGACAUCGUCAUUACCAACGAGGACCGGAAGAAGAUCAUCCUGGAAGACGUCACGGUGCCCUUCGAGAACAGGACCCUGGCCUUCCAUGAUGCCCAAACUCGAAAGGUGGAGAAAUAUGCCUCUCUGGCCAAAAUCUUAAGAGCUAGGACUUACCAGGUUCAGACACACGCGCUGAUCGUCGGAGCCUUGGGCACAUGAGACCCCAGUAACAAGUGAGUGCCAAGAGAAUGCGGAAUUGGUCAGCACUACGCUAGGCUGAUGUGGCAAUUCAUGGUGUCAGAUGCCAUCAGAUGGUCAAGGGACAUCUACAUAGAACACAUCACCAGACAUCAACAGUACCAGGAGAGAUGAGCUGGAGUGUCAAUGAGAAGCGCAGUCAGAAAAGUAACUGAAAUACUUUCCUCAUGGAUUGUAUUUUCUAAAUGGACAACCAACCUACUUCUCAA